rnacentral:sRNA from 1 species
UUUUUCAUAUGAGAACUUUGAAAGCAAAUUAGUAGUUAGUUAUACAUUUGUUAUUCAAAUUAUGUCAAUCUAAUAUUUAGCCAUGAGCCUAUCAUGAUGUGAUUAGAAUACUAGAUUAGGAGAGAAUACAUGGAACAAGAAAUUGUUUGCUUAGAAUCAAGUUAGACAACUUUCAAACCAAAUAAGUAACAUAAUUGCAUACCAUUGUAUCAUAUAUUGUUGAUCUAAGUAUUUCAUGAUAGUUAAAAAAAAA